UAUCUGUUACCUUUAAAAAUAUAUACACACAAUACUAUACUUUUAAGAAUUAUCUCGUCGUAACUUUUGAACAGACGGUCGGACAGUUUUGAGCUUAAUGUAUAAAAUAUAGAACUCGUCGAGAGGAACAUUUUAUACACAGUAGUUAUGCAGCAAACUCUUAUCGUUUUCUUAAUAUGUAAGCUUGAAAUUGCAGCGUAAAUUUUUUUUGCACUCAAUGACCUUUGACCUUGGGUGCAAAUUAAAGGUCACAUGAAUUAAAGAUUAUUGGUGAAGGUCCCAAGUCUCUACGACUUCCGGUUCUCGAAAUACAAUUUUUCACAAAUUGAGUAAUUUUUUUCAAGGGAAAUAACUCCUUUUAAAGAUUGAUAACAUACUAAUUAUUUAUGUUUAUUAACAUUGCCCUUUGUUCCUGUAGAUGCUGCUAUUUUCAAUUAGAUUCUAUCUCUUAUACUUUUUAAGAAAAAUGCAAAUAAAAGAAAUUGCUUCAAGGGGAUGCAACUCUCAAACGAGUCGAUUAAAUCCUACGCAGCCUAAUAUGGUAAUACAUCAUGAUAAGAUCUACCUAUAGUACAAAUAAGGUCAUGAUAUCUUUAAAAACAACGAGGGGGGACCAUGUUGAAAAACCCAAUAAAAGGGAGAUAACUUCCAAAGGGGAUGAUGAAAUCCUUAACAGAGUCAUCUGGUAAUACUUCACAAUGAGGUCUAUCGAUGGUUCAAAUUUGGUCUUGAUAGCUUUAAUAGAAACGAGGGGAGGGCAUGUCAAAAAAAAUGUUGGAAGAAAAAAAAAGAAAAAAAAAAAAGAAAAAGAAAAAGAAAAA